rnacentral:rRNA from 1 species
UAACACGUAGGGGGCGAGCGUUGUUCGGAAUUAUUGGGCGUAAAGGGCAUGUAGGCGGUUUUGUAAGCCUGGUGUGAAAUCCUGCAGCUUAACUGUAGAAUUGCAUUGGGUACUGCGAGACUUGAAUCACAGAGGGGAAACUAGAAUUCCAGGUGUAGGGGUGGAAUCUGUAGAUAUCUGGAAGAAUACCGGUGGCGAAGGCGGGUUUCUAGCUGAUGAUUGACGCUGAGGUGCGAAAGUGCGGGGAGCAAACAGG